rnacentral:rRNA from 1 species
AGAGUUUGAUCCUUGGCUCAGGAAGAACGCUGGCGGCGUGCCUAAUACAUGCAAGUAGAACGCUGAAGACUUUACUUGCUACAGUUGGAAGAGUUGCGAACGGGUGAGUAACGCGUAGGUAACCUGCCUACUAGCGGGGGAUAACUAUUGGAAACGAUACCUAAUACCGCAUAAUAGUGUUUAACACAUGUUAGGAGACUUGAAAGAUGCAAUUGCAUCACUAGUAGAUGGACCUGCGUUGUAUUAGCUAGUUGGUGGGGUAACGGCCUAGCAAGGCGACGAUACAUAGCCGACCUGAGAGGGGGAUCGGCCACACUGGGACUGAUACACGGCCCAAACUCCUACGGGAGGCAGCAGUAGGGAAUCUUCGGCAAUGGGGGCAACCUGACCGAGCAACGCCGCGUGAGUUAAGAAGGUUUUCGGAUCGUAAAGCUCUGUUGUAAGAGAAGAACGUGUGUUAGAUUGGAAAGUUCACACAGUGACGGUAACUUACCAGAAAGGGAGGGCUAACUACGUGCCAGCAGCCGCGGUAAU